GCCCAGGUGGCGAAAUUGGUAGACGCACCACUUUGAGGGGGUGGCGGAAACCGUACGAGUUCGAAUCUCGUUCUGGGCA
rnacentral:tRNA from 1 species